UUUAAGAUNNGCUAAUCUCCAAGCUAUUGGGCCCAUAACCCAAAANUGAUACAAAGUCUCUUAAAA
rnacentral:tRNA from 1 species